rfam:Gossypium hirsutum cultivar TM-1 chromosome 8, whole genome shotgun sequence
CUAGAGACGAGAAAGGGUGUAGUAAGCGACAAAAUGCUUUGGGGAGUUGAAAAUAAGCGUAGAUCCAGAGAUUCCUGAAUAGGUCAACCUUUUGAACUGCUGCUAAAUCCAUGAGCAGACAAGAGAUAACCUAGCGAACUAAAACAUCUUAGUAGCCGAAGAAAAAGAAAGCAAAAGCGAUUCCCGUAGUACCGGCGAGUGAAAUGGGAGCAAUCACGUCCGUUUCCCUUACUCGUCUAG